rnacentral:rRNA from 1 species
CAAUAGCGUAUAUUAAAGUUGUUGCAGUUAAAAAGCUCGUAGUUGGACCUUGGACCUGGACAGGCGGUCCGCCUCACGGCGUGUACUGUCUUGCUGGGUCUUUCCUCUUGGUGAUCUGUUGUUUCGGCAGCAGGGAACCAGGACUUUUACUUUGAAAAAAUUAGAGUGUCCAAAGCAGGCUCGACGCCGGAAUAUAUUAGCAUGGAAUAAUAAAAUAGGACGUGCGGUUCUAUUUUGUUGGUUUUUGGAAUCGCCGUAAUGAUUAAUAGGGACAGUCGGGGGCAUUAGUACUCACAUGCUAGAGGUGAAAUUCUUGGAUUUUGUGAAGACUAACUUCUGCGAAAGCAUUUGCCAAGGAUGUUUUCAUUAA